GGUAAAAUAUCUGAGGAUAAGAAUUGAACUGUAAAUUCAAAGACAGAGACUAGAUAUCUCUUUUUACCA
rnacentral:tRNA from 1 species